rnacentral:rRNA from 1 species
GCCUCAAACCUAGCCCACACGACCCGCAUGACGCCCACAAACUACUGUAAAAAGCAAAACAUUUUAACAUUUUAGUAUAGGCGAUAGAAACAUUAUUAAGCGCUUUAGAUAAAGUACCGCAAGGGAAAUAUGAAAUAGAAAUGAAAUAAUACUUCAGCCACAAAUAGCAGAGACACCCCCUCGUACCUUUAGCAUCAUGGUCUAGCUAGUCCACCCGAGCAAAACGAAAAUUUUAGUACGACCCCCCGAAACUAAGCGAGCUACUUCAAAACAGCCAUAAUGAGCCAACCCUUCUCUGUUGCAAAAGAGUGGGAAGAUUUUCAAGUAGAGGUGAUAAGCCUACCGAGCUUAGAGAUAGCUGGUUGUUCAAGAAAAGAGUCUUAGCUCUGCCUUAAGUUUUUUUAUUAUACCAAACAAACCCACAAGCUUAAGAGUUAUUCAAAUUAGGUACAGCUUAUUUGAAACAGGACACAACCUCUCCCAUUGGGUAAAGAAGGGCAAUAAAAAUAAAGUGGGCCCAAAAGCAGCCACCUUUAAAAUAGCGUCAAAGCUUAACUACCACAGCCCCCAAUUACUUAAACACCCCUAACCCCCUAAUCCAUAUUGAACCAUUUUAUAUUAUUAUAAAAAUGAUCAUGCUAGAACUAGUAACAAGAACUUGCCCUUCUCCUCAUGUAAGCAUAAACCAAAACGGACACUCCGUCGGUGAUCAACGUAAAUGCCAAACUAUAACAACAAAUACCAGAAAACCUUAUAGCCCAACCAACGUUAUCCUAACACCAGAACAUGUCAGGAAAGAUUAAAAGAGAGAGAAGGAACUCGGCAAAUUUUAGCCCCGCCUGUUUACCAAAAACAUCGCCUCCUG